UACGGAGGGAGCUAGCGUUGUUCGGAAUUACUGGGCGUAAAGCGCACGUAGGCGGCUUUUUAAGUCAGGGGUGAAAUCCCGGGGCUCAACCCCGGAACUGCCCUUGAAACUGGAAGGCUAGAAUCUUGGAGAGGCGAGUGGAAUUCCGAGUGUAGAGGUGAAAUUCGUAGAUAUUCGGAAGAACACCAGUGGCGAAGGCGACUCGCUGGACGAAAGUAUUGACAG
rnacentral:rRNA from 1 species